GUAGGUGGCAGGCGUUGUCCGGAAUUAUUGGGCGUAAAGCGCGCGCAGGCGGUCCUUUAAGUCUGAUGUGAAAGCCCACGGCUCAACCGUGGAGGGUCAUUGGAAACUGGGGGACUUGAGUACAGAAGAGGAAAGCGGAAUUCCAAGUGUAGCGGUGAAAUGCGUAGAGAUUUGGAGGAACACCAGUGGCGAAGGCGGCUUUCUGGUCUGUAACUGACGCUGAGGCGCGAAAGCGUGGGGAGCAAACAGGAUUAGAUACCCUGGUAGUCCACGCCGUAAACGAUGAGUGCUAAGUGUUAGGGGGUUUCCCGCCCCCCUUAGUGCUGCAGCUAACGCAUUAAGCACUCCGCCUGGGGGAGUACGGCCGCAAGGCUG
rnacentral:rRNA from 1 species